UGGGGAAUAUUGCGCAAUGGGGGGAACCCUGACGCAGCCAUGCCGCGUGAAUGAAGAAGGCCUUAGGGUUGUAAAGUUCUUUCGGUAUUGAGGAAGGUUGAUGUGUUAAUAGCACAUCAAAUUGACGUUAAAUACAGAAGAAGCACCGGCUAACUCCGUGCCAGCAGCCGCGGUAAUACGGAGGGUGCGAGCGUUAAUCGGAAUAACUGGGCGUAAAGGGCACGCAGGCGGUUAUUUAAGUGAGGUGUGAAAGCCCCGGGCUUAACCUGGGAAUUGCAUUUCAGACUGGGUAACUAGAGUACUUUAGGGAGGGGUAGAAUUCCACGUGUAGCGGUGAAAUGCGUAGAGAUGUGGAGGAAUACCGAAGGCGAAGGCAGCCCCUUGGGAAUGUACUGACGCUCAUGUGCGAAAGCGUGGGGAGCAAACAGGAUUAGAUACCCUGGUAGUCCACGCUGUAAACGCUGUCGAUUUGGGAGUUGGGGUUUAACUCUGGCGCCCGUAGCUAACGUGAUAAAUCGACCGCCUGGGGAGUACGGCCGCAAGGUUA
rnacentral:rRNA from 1 species